GUAGGGUGCAACGCGUUAAUCGGAAUUACUGGGCGUAAAGCGUGCGCAGGCGGCUUUGCAAGACAGGUGUGAAAUCCCCGGGCCUAACCUGGGAACUGCAUUUGUGACUGCAUGGCUAGAGUCUGUCAGAGGGGGUGGAAUUCCACGUGUACGCAGUGAAAUUGCGUAGAGAUGUGGAAGAACACCGAUAGGCGAAGGCAGCCCCCUUGGGAUGAGACUGGACGCUCAUGCACGAAAGCGUGGGUAGCAAACAGGAUUAGAUACCCUGGUAGUCCACGCCCUAAACGAUGCGAACUAGGUGUUGGGGAAGGAGACUUUCUUAGUACCGCAGCUAACGCGUGAAGUUCGCCGCCUGGGGAGUACGGUCGCAAGAUUA
rnacentral:rRNA from 1 species